rnacentral:misc_RNA from 1 species
CGAGCUUCCUAUAUCGGAGUCUUUGACGACCAAUGCCAACAGCACCAGAUGAAACCAAAAUAACCUCGUAUUCUUGAGAGUUCAAUUCUUUGAUCUGCUCACACAAUGCUCCUAGCCUGCCUAAGGCUAAUCUUCCAUCACUUCGCGUUACCACCGCCGUCCCAACCUUGAUGACGAGGCGCUUGACAUCCCGAAGGAAAGCUCGAGAGCGAUCCAUGGAGUCCAUGAAGAAG